GGCUUGGCGGUCUCUGUGCUCGGGGGUCCGAAAACUGCUGGAAGGCCCCCGGUCUCUGGAGGGGAGCAGGCGGUAGCGAGUUUAGUGACGUGGAGCAGGCGCAGAACAGUCGGAGGUACCUGAGUGGUUAUUAAAAACGGUAACGGUAAUUGUAGACGUCAGUGUUGGUGUUAACAUUUCAGAUUUGAAGAGAUUUCCUGGGUGUGGAGUGUGACUUUCCAAAACCAGCUUUUCCUUGAGCUGUAUUUGUUGCAGCAAUGUUUAGGAGAUUGACUUUUGCACAACUGCUUUUUGCCACUGUCCUUGGAAUUGCUGGAGGAGUAUAUAUUUUUCAACCAGUAUUUGAACAGUAUGCCAAAGAUCAGAAGGAAUUAAAAGAAAAGAUGCAGUUGGUACAAGAAUCAGAAGAGAAGAAAAGUUAAUACUACAUGGAGUUAGGCCUGGCGCAGUGGCUCACGCCUGUAAUCCCAGCACUUUGGGAGGCCGAGGCGGGUGGAUCAGGUGGUCAGGAGUUCAAGACCAGCCUGACCAACAUGGUGAAACCCUGUCUCUACUGAAAAUACAAAAAUCAGCCAGGCUUGGUGGCAUGCGCCUGUAAUCCCAGCUACUUGGGAGGCUGAGGCAGGAGCAUCACUUGAACCUGGGAGGCAGAGGUGGCAGUGAGUCAAGAUCACGCUGCUGCACUCCAGCCUGGGUGACAGAGCGAGACUCCAUCUAAAAAAACAAAAAGCAAAAAAACCCACAAAUACCUCAUGGAGAUGAACUGUAAUAAUUGCUUAAAGUUCCAUUUAAUUAUGUUAACUCUAAUCUAGCAAAAACAUAGAUGUACUUAAAAAUAAAUCAUGGAUAAUGAUUUUUUAACCUAA
rnacentral:lncRNA from 10 species